rnacentral:rRNA from 1 species
GAUGAACGCUGGCGGCGUGCCUAACACAUGCAAGUCGAACGGAGCACUAAGGAAGAAGUUUUCGGACAACGGAAUUAGUUGCUUAGUGGCGGACGGGUGAGUAACGCGUGAGUAACCUGCCUUGGAGAGGGGAAUAACACAUCGAAAGGUGUGCUAAUACCGCAUAAUGCAUAUGAAUCGCAUGGUUUAUAUGCCAAAAGAUUUAUCGCUCUGAGAUGGACUCGCGUCUGAUUAGCUAGUUGGUGAGGUAAUGGCUCACCAAGGCGACGAUCAGUAGCCGGACUGAGAGGUUGAACGGCCACAUUGGGACUGGAGACACGGCCCAGACUCCUACGGGUGGCUG